rnacentral:rRNA from 1 species
UACGGAAGGCAGCAGUGGGGAAUAUUGCACAAUGGGCGAAAGCCUGAUGCAGCUAUGCCGCGUGUAUGAAGAAGGCCUUAGGGUUGUAAAGUACUUUCAUCGGGGAGGAAAAACAAAACUAAUAAUUUUAUUUCUUGACGUUACCCGAAAAAGAAGCACCGGCUAACUCCGUGCCAGCAGCCGCGGUAAUACGGAGGGUGCUAGCGUUAAUCAGAAUUACUGGGCGUAAAGAGCACGUAGGUGGUUUUUUUAAGUUCAGAUGUGAAUCCCUGGGCUUAACCUGGAACUGCAUUUUGAAACUGAAAUACUAGAGUAUCGUAGAGGGAGGUAGAAUUCUAGGUGUAGCGGUGAAAUGCGUAGAUAUCUGGAGGAAUACCUGUGGCGAAAGCGGCCUCCUAAACGAAUACUGACACUGAGGUGCGAAAGCGUGGGGAGCAAACAGGGAUUAGAUACC